AUUUUGUAGCCUGUCUGGUCUUCUUACUGCAUUGUUGAUUGUAUUUAGCCAGCUUUGAAAGGAGAUGUAAGCGAAUCGAAUAGAGGACUGUGUCGCGCUGUGCUACGAAGUCGUCGACUACUCCCAGUCAUAAAACAACAAGUCUUAAGGUGCAAGCGAAUGGAAUAAAGGAUGGUAUCGAGCUGUGCUACGAAGUCAUUGGCUCACCCCGGCCACAGAACAUCAAGUCUUUCGUGGAAGUGUAUAAACCAAGAACUCUCCAUAAUACUUUCCAGCGAACAAUGGUCAAUUAAAGAUGGAAAAAGAGNAAUGAAAAUUGUGAAACGGAACGGAGGAAAAUGCAAAAAGUACGAGAGGUGACGAAGUAAUAUUACGCUUUGAAAUGUGAAGAAAAUGAUGAAUUAAGAAUUGAGCGUGG
rnacentral:lncRNA from 1 species